rnacentral:rRNA from 1 species
AGAUUGAACGCUAGCGGGAUGCUUUACACAUGCAAGUCGAACGGCAGCGCGGACUUCGGUCUGGCGGCGAGUGGCGAACGGGUGAGUAAUAUAUCGGAACGUGCCCAGUAGCGGGGGAUAACUACGCGAAAGCGUGGCUAAUACCGCAUACGCCCUACGGGGGAAAGGGGGGAUUCUUCGGAACCUCUCACUAUUGGAGCGGCCGAUAUCAGAUUAGCUAGUUGGUGAGGUAAAGGCUCACCAAGGCGACGAUCUGCAGCUGGUUUGAGAGGACGGCCAGCCACACUGGGACUGAGACACGGCCCAGACUCCUACGGGAGCAGCAGUGGG